ACAUGUCUCCACAGCUGUGAGCUUGAACUGGCUGUCAGACAGUGAUCUGUAACCUGGACGCACAUUCAGGAAGUCCUAGUAGAUUUGAGCGAGUUCAGGGGCGUAAAGACGCGCCGCCCAGAUUUACACCGUGAUAAAGGUCGGUAGAGGAGCUUGAGGUGCCGCGAGACACUGUCCCUGAGGCUCAGAGCUCUGGUGGACAAGAUGGGAACAUUACAGAUAGGCCUACUGAGACAU